rnacentral:rRNA from 1 species
ACUAGCAGUGGAAUUUACUAAAUUUCCAGUUACUCACUGAAGCUAAGCAGGGCUGAGCCUGGUCAGUAUCUGGAUGGGAGACCACUAGGGAACACUAGGUUGCUGUUGGAA